rnacentral:rRNA from 1 species
AAAUGAAUAGACGGGGACUCGCACAACCAGUGGAGCAUGUGGUUUAAUUCGAUACAAAGCGAUGGACCUUACCCGGGUUUGACAUGCUACCGUUUUAGUUCUGCAGAAACGUAGAAUGAUCCGCAAGGAAGGUAGCACAGCUGCUGCAUGGCUGUCGUCAGCUCUAGGCGUGAGCUGUAGGCUUAAGUGCCUCAUAGAGCGCAACCCCUAUCUAGUGUUAAAUAUUCACGAGAGACUGCCCUGAUAUAUGUCAGGGAGGAAGGAGGGGACGACGUCAAGUCAGCAUGGCGCUUAUGUCCGGGGCUACACACAUCCUACAAUGGCGAAGAACAACGAGCUUAGCGACUCGGCAACGAGAAGCAAAUCUCUGAAAUUUCGCCUCAGUUCGGAUUGAGGGCUGCAACCCGCCCUCAUGAAGUCGGAAUUGGUAGUAAUCGCGGAUCAGCAGGCCGCGGUGAAUACGUUCUCGAGUCUUGUACACACCGCCCGU